AAGUCGUAACGAGGUUUCCGUAGGUGAACCUGCGGAAGGAUCAUUAAUAAUGCCCCGUUUUUAUCGCAAGAUUUAAAUGGGUUCAAUACCCAAAACCGUGUCCAUCUACCUUUGCUUUGCUUUGGCAGGUGCCGCCUUCGGUCGGUCGACUCCGGCUGACCAGCGCCUGCCAGAGGCCCAAAACUCUGUGUUUAGUGAUGUCUGAGUACUAUAUAAUAUUUAAAA
rnacentral:misc_RNA from 1 species